rnacentral:lncRNA from 1 species
AUCGAUAGUUAAGAGUAACAUCGCCCACUGCCUCGCUAAUUGGAACCUAAUGGAUCAUACACCGAGUAAGGAUGUAUGUGAAGAUAUUAUAUGAAAUGGAUAAGCAAUUAAAUGGUUUAAUUGAAGAAUGGUCAAGAUUAAUUAAUUAGUUAAUUAAUUUUACGAAAGGUUCGUAUUGGGCUUAUAUGUUGGUUUUGGGUUUCGGGGCCCAAAAGCGUUUUGGUCCAAAAGGCCUAUUAUGUUUAAGUUGUAUGACAACUAAAACAAAAUGGGCAAAUUAGCCCAAUAACAAUAAGAGGCUGGCCUAGGGUGAAUGGGCAAGUUUGCUUUAUUACAAGUUUGCCACUCACCAAAGAAAAUGUAUAAAAGCAACUUUAUAGCAAUUUUCUCAGGAGGGUUUUCUUGUUGAAAUUGGGUGAAACAUUUUCUCUCAUUUUUCUCUAAGAGGCCGGCCACUAAGGGGAGGGACAUCUAGCAAUCUCUUCUUCCCUAAGUCAUCCAUAUCAUCUUCACAAGAUACAUCCUUGGUGAAGAGACUUAGAGACAUCAAGCUUUUGGUGUUUUGGAGAACAAAUCCUUAUUUCCUCAAAUCUUCAAAGGAGCACUAAAGGGAGGAAAACACAAGGUGGAUUCAAGGAGCUUGGAGGUGACUUGAAGGCCCUCCACUUGGGUGAAUCCCUUGUGUAAACAAGGAUGAGCUUCAAGGGUAAAGAAACUCUAAAUCUUUACUUCUCUUUAAUGUUGUUAAAAGAGUUUAUUUAGGUUCACCAUAUACUAGGCUUUGAAAGUCAUGGGUUUUAUGAAUUGUUUUUUGGAUGCAUGCCUACUUUAAAGUGUUAAUAUCUUGCAUGUGUAUUCAAAUGUUCAUACUUGUUCUUAGUUAGGACAAAAUUUUUUCCUUCAANUUUUUGAAAAAAAGAGCACAUCUGUCUGUGGCCUUAGAGAUGAACGUAGUUAAGGCUGCCACCUUGCCAGUAAGGCUUUAGAUGUCUUUUAAAGUUAUUAGUUCCUUCAUGUCGAGGAAUGCUUUGAUCUUCUCGGGAUUAGCCUUAAUGCCUUAUUGGCUUAUCAUAAAGCCUAAGAAUUUUCCAGAGCCUAUGCCGAGGCAUAUUUGUUGGGGUUCAACCUCAUUUGAUACCUCUUUAGAAUGGUGAAAGUUUCAGAUAGGUUAGUGAUGUGUUGGUCAACAUGUUUUCUUUUGACUAGCAUAUCAUCAACGUAAACUUCCAUGCUCUUCCCAAUCUGUUCGGCGAACAUUGAAUUGACCAGUCUCUGAUAAGUCACUCCUGCAUUCUUGAGGCCGAAGGGCAUGACUUUAUAGCAAUAUAGUCCCUUGUCAGUAGUGAAGGCUGUGUGUUCUUGGUCCGGAGGGUUCAUGAGGAUUUGGUUGUAUCCUGAGUAAGCAUCCAUGAAGCUCAAGAGUUCACACCGUGCCGUAGAGUCUAUAAGUCUAUCUAUGAGAGGAAGAGGAAAGCUAUCCUUCGGGCAUCCUUUGUUUAGGUCAGUGUAAUCGAAACACAUUCUCCACAAGACCUUUUGGAGCAGGAGACUUUCCUUGGUUGGAUUCUUCUUAACAAAGACAACAUUUGCUACCCACGUUGGAUAAUUGACUUCGCAGACGAAGCCUAUGCCUUUGAGUUUUUCAACUUCAGCCUUCAUUGCCUCGUACCGUUCAGAGUCAUAGGAUCUUUGCUUCUGUCUCACUGAUAGGAUCUUUGCUUCUGUCUCACUGGCUUGGUCUUGGGGUCAAUACUUAACUGAUGACAGAUGAUAUCGGGAGAGAUGCCUAACAUGUCCUCGUAUGACCAGGCAAAGACCUCAGUGUUCUCUUGCAAAAAAAAAAGAUCAAUGCUAACCGAAUGGGUGGUGACAAGGUGGUGCCAAUCUUCACCAUGCGAUCUGGAUAAUCUUUUGAGAUAGAGACAUUCUCCAACUCAUCAGCGGGUUGUGCUUGCUGGGUGAAAGAGUAUGUUGGAAGUAUGCCCACAAAGCCACUCAUUUGAUGUAAUAGCUUUUUGGAAUACUUAUUGUGUUAAACUUUUAUAUGUUUAAUGGAGGGCAAAUCUUAUUGUUAAUCACUAUUUAUUGUAUCAUGUGUUUAAGCAAUAAGGGAAUCCAAGGAAUGUAUUUGUUCUAAGAGAUAAGUGAUCUAAUGAGUUAGAUUAUCGAGACCUUUCUCUUAGAUUCAUUCCUAAAACGUUCCUAGCCAUUGGAUUGCUAAUUGGGCAUUGACAAUCCGCUAAGGCUAGUAUGUGUUAUGUUGACUCAAUCGUGAGUAUAACUAGUCUCAAGUCAUUUGGUGUUGGACACUAAGACAAACACAUAGGUGCUCGAAAGAGUAAUCUCGAGUACACUGAACUACGAUCAAAAAGAGAGUUCGGAACAUACAUGUCAUGUAUGAACUCUAAGGUUGCAAUAUGCAAAGUAGUCCUUUGACCUGAGGCAUCAUAGAUGUCUAAUGGUUAGGUCCUUCAUCUUUGAUCAUGUCAACGGCAUUCCUUUGGAGUGUCCACGGCAUUGUUGGGGUCAAGCUAUCUAGUCAUGUAGGCAUAUGAAUGCACAACAAGGGAUCUCUAACCUUCCAUGGUGGAGGGAGAAUACUCUAAGAUAUGAUUCUAAAGUCUUUGGCCAAAGCAAAUGAAUAUGACUUAGGAAGUUUGUUCCAAAUCAUAUUCAAGGGAAUCAUAUAGGAAAGUAUCACAUUGGAUAGUAGACAUGAAACAAACUAUCACUUAAACAAUGUGAUUAAGAGUAUUGUAUUAGAGAAGGACCGUAUUGCAUUGUAGUUGUAACUGGAUAGGUUCUCCAACCAAUUCUACUUAGCUUGGGUAACCAUGACAUACUGCUAGGUGUCACUCAUGGUUUGUGGAAGCCCAAAUGAUUAGGUAACACUAAUCAUUAAAGGGAGAAUUGAAAUGUGGUUUCAAUUCACAAUCGAUAGUUAAGAGUAACAUCGCCCACUGCCUCGCUAAUUGGAACCUAAUGGAUCAUACACACCGAGUAAGGAUGUAUGUGAAGAUAUUAUAUGAAAUGGAUAAGCAAUUAAAUGGUUUAAUUGAAGAAUGGUCAAGAUUAAUUAAUUAGUUAAUUAAUUUUACGAAAGGUUCGUAUUGGGCUUAUAUGUUGGUUUUGGGUUUCGGGGCCCAAAAGCGUUUUGGUCCAAAAGGCCUAUUAUGUUUAAGUUGUAUGACAACUAAAACAAAAUGGGCAAAUUAGCCCAAUAACAAUAAGAGGCUGGCCAUUAGGGUGAAUGGGCAAGUUUGCUUUAUUACAAGUUUGCCACUCACCAAAGAAAAUGUAUAAAAGCAACUUUAUAGCAAUUUUCUCAGGAGGGUUUUCUUGUUGAAAUUGGGUGAAACAUUUUCUCUCAUUUUUCUCUAAGAGGCCGGCCACUAAGGGGAGGGACAUCUAGCAAUCUCUUCUUCCCUAAGUCAUCCAUAUCAUCUUCACAAGAUACAUCCUUGGUGAAGAGACUUAGAGACAUCAAGCUUUUGGUGUUUUGGAGAACAAAUCCUUAUUUCCUCAAAUCUUCAAAGGAGCACUAAAGGGAGGAAAACACAAGGUGGAUUCAAGGAGCUUGGAGGUGACUUGAAGGCCCUCCACUUGGGUGAAUCCCUUGUGUAAACAAGGAUGAGCUUCAAGGGUAAAGAAACUCUAAAUCUUUACUUCUCUUUAAUGUUGUUAAAGAGUUUAUUUAGGUUCACCAUAUACUAGGCUUUGAAAGUCAUGGGUUUUAUGAAUUGUUUUUGGAUGCAUGCCUACUUUAAAGUGUUAAUAUCUUGCAUGUGUAUUCAAAUGUUCAUACUUGUUCUUAGUUAGGACAAAUUUUUUCCUUCAAGUGGUAUCAGAGCCUAGGCCUAGUGUAUGGUGAAUCCUUUUGGGUUUUGUGAUGUUCAUAUUUUGUGAUUUAAAUGUUGGAAAUGUUACAAGCUUUAUUCUUGCUUUUGAAUAUAUAAAUUUUGCUAGAAAAUUUAGCAUCUCAAAUGUUGUAGAUGUAUUUUAUUCAAGCAUGAAUAUUGGAACUAAAAUUUGGUGCCAUGUAUUUUGGGAAAUUCGGCCAAAUCCUUAUGGUGACUUUUUGGGUUCAUGUUUGUCUUGUUAAAAUGGUAUUAAGGUGACUUUUGGAACCCCUAAGUACCCUAGGAUAUUAGCCCUCUUUUGAGAGGUGAAAGAUUGAGUUUUGAUGAUUGAAAACAUUCAUGGAGCUAUUAUGAGUUUUCAUGGUGUUCUUCAAUGUUCUUGAAGUUCUUGCCAAGAACAUAAAGUUUUGAAGUUUUGAUUCAAAAGUUUUAUGUUUUUCAUAAAGUUUUGGUAUAUUAUUGAUUUAUUAUUGAUGGGUGAUGUUUAUUGGUGAAGUAUUAUUGUUGGUUUUAAUGUUUGACAAAAAUCUCUUACAAACCUAUCCAAAUCACCUUUACCUCACCCACCAAAAUCACCUUGCAAAAACUUUUUAGAAAUUUUUCAAUUUUUCAUUAAAUGGCCGGCCACCCCUAGUGGGGGUACUUUUGGGGCCUUUUGUGCAAUUACAUAAAGUUUUAGAUACUUUUGUGUAUUUGCAUUUUGGCCCAAAAGUUUACGUUUUUACGUUAAGGCUCUAAAACUCUAAAGGACAAAUUGUUUUGAUCCUUUAAUGAUGUUUUUACAUUAUUAAAAUUUUGGGAUCUAGUUGUAAUUACAUGAAGUUGUGGACUAUUGUGUUUUUACAAAGUGACCCCAAAAGUUUUUGUAUUUGCAUUAUGGCCCAAUUGUUGUGGUCAUAGUUUCCUAUUGGCCCAAAAGGAUGAGAACAAAAUUGUUUUGUGUCUUUAAUGAGAAUUGGAUUUUCAUUUCAUUUAGUUCCAUUUAAA